rnacentral:misc_RNA from 1 species
CCGAGUUUACAAACUCCCAACCCUAUGUGAACCUACCUAUCGUUGCUUCGGCGGGCUUUAGCCCCCGCGCCGCUCGCCGGCGCCGGGAAACAGGCGCCCGCCGGAGACCCAAACUCAAUGUUUUUCAUGCAGUAUUAUCUGAGUGGCAAACGCAAAAAUAAAUCA